rnacentral:rRNA from 1 species
AGUGGCGAACGGGUGAGUAAUACAUAAGCAACCUACCCACGAAGACUGGGAUAAUCUCUGGAAACGGGGACUAAUACCGGAUAGGUAAUCGGAAGGCAUCUUCUGAUUAUUAAAGGUUAAAAACACUGGUGGAUGGGCUUAUGGCGCAUUAGUUAGUUGGUGAGGUAACGGCCCACCCAAGACGAUGAUGCGUAGCCGGCCUGAGAGGGUGAACGGCCACAUUGGGACUGAGACACGGCCCAG